CAGUAGCCGCGGUAAUACGUAGGGUGCAAGCGUUAAUCGGAAUUACUGGGCGUAAAGCGUGCGCAGGCGGUUUGUUAAGACAGAUGUGAAAUCCCCGGGCUUAACCUGGGAACUGCAUUUGUGACUGGCAAGCUAGAGUAUGGCAGAGGGGGGUGGAAUUCCGCGUGUAGCAGUGAAAUGCGUAGAUAUGCGGAGGAACACCGAUGGCGAAGGCAGCCACCUGGGCCAAUACUGACGCUCAUGCACGAAAGCGUGGGGAGCAAACAGGAUUAGAUACCCCUGUAGUCCCUGUCUCUUAUAC
rnacentral:rRNA from 1 species